rnacentral:lncRNA from 1 species
UUAUAUGUGGUAUGUGAGAGUGAGAAUUGUGUUAUCUUAAAUGUAUUAUUUAUAUUGUGUUAAUUCUAUUUUGUGUUCCUGUGUGUUUGUUAUGAUAUAGAGAAUCAGUGGAACCAUUCCAUAGUGUAUAAAUGAAGAUGAUAAUGUUGAUGAAGAAUUGCCUGAUAGAAAUGUUGUAUGUGGUGAAAGCACAAACCGC